rnacentral:piRNA from 1 species
UUCUGCCUGGAGCCUUAUUGGAAUC